rnacentral:lncRNA from 1 species
GGUGAUUUUAAGACGGGCAGAUAAGGAAUGCCACUAUCCUUUCACUCAUUCCAUUGAUCCUGUUCUUAAAAUCUUAAAACAGCCAUACUGACUAAAAUCCCUGGGCCUCUCUUAGGCCUCCAGUUGCUCUCUUGAGCUGGGGGAUUGGCAGUUUCGACUUCAGCGUCAUUUUCUGAGUUCUCUGUAUAGGCCCUCGUGAGUUCUAAAAUUCCCUCCUCCACCACAAAGGUGGCUGACAGUUGCUGGGGGUUGUAGGGGGUCAAAGAUGUAGUGCUUACAAACAUGCAAACCCUGGCCUGGGCUCCCCACCCUGGCUGCUCCUUGCUGACGUCGGGGAGAAGGAUGGCCCAUCCGACUGAGGACAGAGCUCUCUGCAGUACUAGAGAUGUUGGUUCUGCAGCUCUUGCAGCAGUGUGAGCAAGCCGGAAUAAAUUUUAGAAAACUUAAUGGAAACGGAGAAAACACCCACAUUAAGAAAACAAAUCCGAGUGCCUUGGCGUGCCUUCGGACGCAGACUGCGCUGUGAUAGUCAUCUUUAUUAACUUUCCAUCCUGGACUGAUCUCCAGUGACGGCACAAUGAUCAUAGCCAGGCAAUCGAUACCUCAUUAAUGAUUAUUUCCGUUUCUUUUCUUCUUGGCUCUGUCAACCAAACAGUCUCAAAAGCAAUGGGAGGUCCCCUCGCCCAGCUUUCCCAUGCCGUGAAGGAGAAAUGAAGCCCCCAGAAGGACUCGAGCUCCGUGGAAGCGCAGUUCCAUGCAUAACUCCCCUGGAGUGCCUUAGCCAGAAAAUGUCCAUAGCUGGAUCUGGCUGAGCUGGAGAAGGAGAGACGCCCCAUGGACAGAAAGCCAUGCCUUCUAGAUGCAGAGUGGCAUCCUGGGGAGCAGAAAUGUUCCAUCUGGAGACAGCUCAGAAGACUUUCAGCUUCUCCAGAGCAGAGGAUCCUCCCUUGUCCUUCACCGUGUCCCAGCAACUAGCAGAGGCUGGUCCAGAGCAGGUGCUCAGAGUGUGUUUGCCAAAUGACUGACCACUAACCUGGCGAAUGAGCAUGCCAAUGGAAGAAUCAAUGAAUGAAUGACUGUGUUAAAGACAGUUUCAGUGACUCAGUAAAACAUUUUUGACGUAAUAGUCCACAAAAGGUUUCAGACUCCAAAUUGUACAUAUAGAAUGG